UUUUUGUCUUUUUGUUUUCAAAAAAGAGGGAUCUCUUAUGAGAUCCUCAAGAGAGACGGUGAGAGUCCCUUUUUUAGAAGGAGAGAUUUUUAUUAUUUUUUUGUCCUCUUUUGAAAAGUGAGAGAGAGGAGAGAGAUAUCCUUCUAUUCCUUUUCUUAUUUUUAAUUUAUUCCUAUUUUUUGAUUGGUUGAAACAAAAAUUACAUAG
rnacentral:lncRNA from 1 species